UACGUAGGGGGCAAGCGUUGUCCGGAUUUAUUGGGCGUAAAGAGCGUGUAGGCGGCCAUGUAGGUCCGUUGUGAAAACUCGAGGCUCAACCUCGGGCUUGCAGUGGAUACGGGCAGACUAGAGUGCGGUAGGGGAGACUGGAAUUCCUGGUGUAGCGGUGGAAUGCGCAGAUAUCAGGAGGAACACCGGUGGCGAAGGCGGGUCUCUGGGGCCGAUACUGACGCUGAGGAGCGAAAGCGUGGGGGAGCGAACAGG
rnacentral:rRNA from 1 species